rfam:Cochliobolus sativus ND90Pr unplaced genomic scaffold COCSAscaffold_12, whole genome shotgun sequence.
GGUCGCUUAGCUCAGUUGGUUAGAGCGUGGUGCUAAUAGGGACUUUACUUCCUGUGAUACGCCAAGGUCGCGAGUUCGACCCUCGUAGUGACCA